GUUAUACAAUGAAGUAAGUGGCAGAGAGGAAUUUCAUUUUUUAUUUCAAAUCCAGUCUUGCUGAUUUGGGUUUUCAGUUGUGGUCUGUUUCCAUGAAAUAUCAGCAGAUUUUAAGACUAAGAUAUGUGCCAGGUUGAAUUACAAACAGAGAUGAAUGGAAUCUGGAUUUCUGUCAAAAUAAAAGCAAAGAAAAACUUUUCUCCUAAUAACAUGAAUAAUUAUAUCAUACACUUGUUAGACGUUAUAAUGAAUCAUUACCUAUGGGCCUGUUUUAGACACCUUCAUGACUCACAACCUGAGAUGUUCAAUUUGCUGCUUCUCACCGAGGCAUAUGACCUUUUAUUGUCUGGUAGUACCAGAAACUCUGGCAAGUAUAUGCCACAUGUCCAUGGAAGAGAUCACCCCAGUGCCAUGCUAUAGACUGGCUUUCUUGGAACAUGGUUAAUUUCUGUUGGUUAUCGGUAUACAGCCUUGCAUUUAAGAGCUGGAACUGAGUUUUAAAAUGUUUUUCACAGCAUCCCUAAUUCAUAUCCAUUUUAUUGGGUUCUAAAAUUGAUUCUACAGUCCACUAAUCUACAUUACAAACUACACAGCCUAUAAUGAAAAUAAAUGAAUAGAAAAUGUAUUGUUUUGUUUUUAGAGUUAAUUACUAUAUAGUUACAUCCUUUUAUGGCUUCUUAUUAGCAUAGUUCAAUGCUGACAAAACCAAGAAAGUCACACUACCUGUACAUAUAUUUUUAAAAAAUGAUACAUUAGAUCCAGUAAAUACAUUUAACAGCACCAUUAUUUUUACUGGAUCAUCAAAUACAUUGAAUUUUAAAUAUUUCAGGGGACUUUAGUUUUCUGAAUAGAGAAUAAGUAAGAUAAUUGAAAGUUAAUGAAUAAUGAAAGCCUUACCUUCCUGAAAAGAUGUUUAUAGCUAUUAUUUGCCUCAGUGGGUGUUUAGAUAACUAACCACAACUCUUGAUAGCAACAGAUAAUUUAACAAGCAUUUAUUGUGUAUGUAAUACUAUUUGUAAGGCUUUAAAGGUAAACAGAUGAAUCAACUGGUCCCUAUAGCUGAACAUUUCAGUCUGAGCAAACAAUUUGAAUAUAUGGAAAAUCCCAGGGGGACACCCAUGGAGACCCAUAUUGUUUAGACUGUGCUAAGCACUGCCCGGGAGUGUUUAGAAGAAAAAACAGCAACAGUGCUAUGGCAUAUCAGCUGAAGGAUGGACAGAAAUGUGAAUUAUUGACAGUGUGGAAAUAAAUACAGAUUUUGGUGUGCUAAAAUCUAGAGGAUUCUAAUACCCACCAGAAUACCAAAUCUUUUGAAGAAUCAAAGCAAAGUCUUAUGAGAGUAUUCAAGGUAAAACUGGUUAUCUCCAUUUUAGAUUCUGGUAUUUGAAAGGUUUUGCUAACAUAACUCCCUUGAUUUCCAGCCACAUCUCAGGGAAAUGACUAUCUUAGUCUCAGGCCAACAGAAGGAAAUGUGGGCACUGGCAUGCACUUUUCUCUAGGGAAGUUUGUUACUUAUGUUAUUGAAAGUUAAGUAAGCACUUAUAGGAGAUGAUGAGUAUUGAUUGAGCAUCUGCUUUCGUACUGACUUCUGUUGCUGAAUCACCAGUUCCAAGGAAAAUACUGAAGGGAGCAGAAACCAAACAAGCCAGUGCCUGUUCAGACAGCUAAAACAGUCUACAUCUUUCCCCUUACCUCCAGUAUAGCUGCCCUAUCUAUCUAUCUAUCUAUCUAUCUAUCUAUCUAUCUAUCUAUCUAUCUAUCUAUCUAUCUAUCCAUCCAUCCAUCUAUCUAUCUAUCUAUCUAUCUAUCUAUCUAUCUAUCUAUCUAUCUAUCCAUCUAUCUAUCUAUCUAUCUGUGUGCAUACAUGUUAUUAGAAUUUUAAAAUGUCAUUCCAGUAUGUUUAAUGUCCACUGCUACUGAGUCCCAGAGGUAGGAAUGAACAUUGGAAAAUCCUGAUACUGUAAAUCAGUGUUGUGCAAAUGAGAGUAACAUAUCACACUCUACUUAAUAUUCUUCAUGCCAUUACUUUCAAAAUACAGAAUAAAGGUACUCUCAAACUCAAGCAAGCAUUUUUCAGGCUAGGGCCAUAAUGGACAAUUUGAAAACCUAGUGGCCCCUACUUCCAGAUUGGAAAGUAAUGUAAGGUUAGCUCAUUUUAACUAUUUUUCCUGUUCCCCUCCAAACAGGGAAACAUUAUCUAGCAGAAGCUACAUCAUCUUCUUCCCAUCACAGGCUCUUACCUGACACAUUGUAUAGGCAUUAUUAUAUGUAUAUACC
rnacentral:lncRNA from 1 species